AUGCUUGUUAAACUGCAUAAAAGUUAAAAAUGUGGUUUGAAGUUAAUACAGACGACCAAAUGGACAUUCAAGAGACUUCAAAGAACUUAGUAACCUCUUUUCACGACAAGCGGCCAACGAGUUCUCACGGCGUAUAAGGCAUAUACGACGUUCAAGGCGUACAUGGUGUGAAGUUGGAUGUACCAAAGAGACCCGAUGUGCCCACAGCAAUAAACGCCCGUUGCAAA